rnacentral:rRNA from 1 species
GAUGAACGCUGGCGGCGUGCUUAACACAUGCAAGUCGAACGAAGCACCUUGAUUUGAUUCUUCGGAUGAAGAUCUUGGUGACUGAGUGGCGGACGGGUGAGUAACGCGUGGGUAACCUGCCUCAUACAGGGGGAUCACAGUUAGAAAUGACUGCUAAUACCGCAUAAGACCACAGUACCGCAUGGUACAGGGGUAAAAGCUCCGGUGGUAUGAGAUGGACCCGCUUCUGAUUAGGUAGUUGGUGGGGUAACGGCCUACCAAGCCGACGAUCAGUAGCCGACCUGAGAGGGUGACCGGCCACAUUGGGACUGAGACACGGCCCAAACUCCUACGGGAAGCAGCAGUGGGGAAUAUUGCACAAUGGGGGAAACCCUGAUGCAGCGACGCCGCGUGAGCGAUGAAGUAUUUCGGUAUGUACAGCUCUAUCAGCAGGGAAGAAAAUGCCGGUACCUGACUAAGAAGCACCGGCUAAAUACGUGCCAGCCGCCGCAGUAA